rnacentral:rRNA from 1 species
UACGUAGGGUGCAAGCGUUGUCCGGAAUUAUUGGGCGUAAAGAGCUCGUAGGCGGUUCGUCGCGUCGGCUGUGAAAACCUGAGGCUCAACCUCAGGCCUGCAGUCGAUACGGGCGGACUUGAGUACUGCAGGGGAGACUGGAAUUCCAGGUGUAGCGGUGAAAUGCGCAGAUAUCAGGAGGAACACCGGUGGCGAAGGCGGGUCUCUGGGCCGACACUGACGCUGAGGAGCGAAAGCGUGGGGAGCGAACAGG